AGCGCGGGACGGGCGAUCGCUGGCGGACGACUUCAAAAUCGUUUGCGGGAGGAAAGUCCGGGCUCCAUCAGCAAAGGUACUGGUUAACGGCCAGGCACCCUGAGCAAUCAGGAGUGACGGAAAGUGCAACAGAAAACAAACCGNNGGCAAACCCUACCUGGAGCAAGGCCAAAUAGGGGAGCGAUGACAGGAUUCACGUCUUGUCACGGUGAGCUUCACCGCUGCUCCCGGGUAAGGCCGCACGAGGUGUCCAGCAAUGGGCAUCCUAGAGGAAUGAUCGCCUCCGUGAAUUCCAAAAGACUUCGCGAAGACAGAACCCGGCUUACAGUCCUGCGCUAAUU
rnacentral:RNase_P_RNA from 1 species